CAAUAGCGUAUAUUUAAGUUGUUGCAGUUAAAAAGCUCGUAGUUGGAUUUCGGUUAAGAGCGACCGGUCCGCCGUUUGGUGUGCACUGGUUGGUUUUGACUUCCUGUAGAGGACGUGCUCUGGGUUUAACGACCUGGACUCGGAGUCUACGUGGUUACUUUGAAAAAAUUAGAGUGUUCAAAGCGGGCUUACGCUUGAAUAUUUCAGCAUGGAAUAACACUAUAGGACUCCUGUCCUAUUUCGUUGGUCUCGGGACGGGAGUAAUGAUUAAGAGGAACAGUUGGGGGCAUUCGUAUUUCAUUGUCAGAGGUGAAAUUCUUGGAUUUAUGAAAGACGAACUUCUGCGAAAGCAUUUGCCAAGGAUGUUUUCAUUAA
rnacentral:rRNA from 1 species